rnacentral:rRNA from 1 species
AUUCCAGACUCCUACGGGAGGCAGCAGUGAGGAAUAUUGGUCAAUGGCCGAGAGGCUGAACCAGCCAAGUCGCGUGAGGGAAGACGGCCCUACGGGUUGUAAACCUCUUUUGUCGGGGAGCAAAGCGAGUCACGUGUGACUCAUUGAGAGUACCCGAAGAAAAAGCAUCGGCUAACUCCGUGCCAGCAGCCGCGGUAAUACGGAGGAUGCGAGCGUUAUCCGGAUUUAUUGGGUUUAAAGGGUGCGCAGGCGGAGGUGCAAGUCAGCGGUCAAAUUGCGGGGCUCAACCCCGUACUGCCGUUGAAACUGCAUCCCUUGAGUGCGCGAGAAGUAUGCGGAAUGCGUGGUGUAGCGGUGAAAUGCAUAGAUAUCACGCAGAACUCCGAUUGCGAAGGCAAGUGUCCGGGGUGCAACUGACGCUGAGGCUCGAAAGUGCGGGUAUCAAACAGGAUUAGAUACCCUUGUA